GAUGAACGCUGGCGGCGUGCCUAAUACAUGCAAGUAGAACGCUGAAGGAGGAGCUUGCUCUUCUGGAUGAGUUGCGAACGGGUGAGUAACGCGUAGGUAACCUGCCUGGUAGCGGGGGAUAACUAUUGGAAACGAUAGCUAAUACCGCAUGACAACAGUUAUUGCAUGAUAACUGUUUAAAAGGGGCAACUGCUCCACUACCAGAUGGACCUGCGUUGUAUUAGCUAGUUGGUGAGGUAACGGCUCACCAAGGCGACGAUACAUAGCCGACCUGAGAGGGUGAUCGGCCACACUGGGACUGAGACACGGCCCAGACUCCUACGGGAGGCAGCAGUAGGGAAUCGUCGGCAAUGGACGGAAGUCUGACCGAGCAACGCCGCGGGAGUGAAGAAGGUUUUCGGAUCGUAAAGCUCUGUUGUAAGAGAAGAACGAGUGUGAGAGUGGAAAGUUCACACUGUGACGGUAUCUUACCAGAAAGGGACGGCUAACUACGUG
rnacentral:rRNA from 1 species